UGUGCACACUCUCAUUGGUGCCCUUUGUUUAGUUACGAGGCGUGAAACGUCGGUGAAAAUCGCGCGCGAAAUUAGUCCCGGUGUGUACGGGCCUUAAGGUUGUUCUCAGUCGUUAAAAAAUCUUAAAGCUUCCCAGCCAGUAAGACCAAGUGGACCUAUAUAGUUUAAAAGUCGGCAGAAAGUGUGGGCCCCAGAUGUGUCUGUCCACAGUUACCAUGGUGGCCCCACCUGUGUUUGUCCACAUUGGCUUCAGUGGACAGCUCAGUUGUCCACCGGGCAGCUGGCUAGCGUAGCGGGAGGGGAAGCGACUGAUGAGGCUGGUGGGACACCAAAAAAAGGAAAGGUGGCGGCGGUCACUGCAACACCUGCAGUGGACUUUGAACCUUACGCUCCGAUCAAGAUCGCAGAUGGAAACCCCGCCUCGUUCGAUCCUGCGGGGGACAUGGAUUGCGUUCGGAGGGCAGUGGGUGUCAGGGCACAAGAAGCAGGAGAGGAGAAUGAAGCCUCCUCUGUCCAGGUUCAAUCUGCAGACAGAAAGACUUCAACACCUCUAGAAGUAGCACAGAGGCCCUUGGUUCCAGAACCUGUGCAACCUCAGAACGACCCACUCUCUAAGACAAGCAUGAUGACCAUUUCUGAAACAGAGUUUUAUGGAAUGUUGACACAGAAAGAGGAAAAUGCUGCUGCACUUCAACAGGAGAAUUCUGCCCUCAAGUUGGAAGUAAUGCGUCUCAAGAAACUCCUUCAGCAGAAAAACGCGGUCCUAUCAGAUACUACUGGGAAAGCUGACCAAAUUGGAAAAGAGUCCACUGGAGAACCUUGGUAGAACAAGCUAAUAGCUACCCGAUCCAGAUGCAGCAAAAAAAGAGUCAAACUGAAGCUGCGUUGACUCAAUGUCAGAGACUGUCAAAGGAGAAGGAGGAGGAACACUUUAAAGAAACCACAACUUUAAUGUAGAACAGCUCAAACAUAAGCUCCAGGUUGAACAGUCUCUCAUGGAAAAAGAGAAGACGUUGAUCUACAAAGGACUCCAUGAGAAGACUCGUGAAAAUUCAGAACUCACCCAAAAAAAUCCACCAGCUGGAAACAAUCCAGGAGACCUUCAGAGAAACAGCACAGCAGGAAAGACUGCAAUGGCAGAAAGAGAAGUCCUCUUUUCUCCAAGAAAUGUCUCAAUUAAAAAAAACUUCUCCAGGAAAAGGAAGUCAAAAUUAGAAAGUCUGUAGAGGACCACAAAAAGAUGCUUGACCAACUACAUCAGGAGAUGUACAAGCUAAAAGAAAAGAAGAAGGAAAACUCAAACCUCACCAGCAAACUGAGGAACCUGGAAACAUCUCUGUUGACAGGGAAGGCAAAGACCAAUGAAGCUGAAAAACAGCAGGGAGAGGACAAACACAAGUGGGACGAGGAAAAGUCCUCCCUUCUCCAAGAAACCUCUCAUCUAAAAGAGGUUAUCCAGAGAAAGGAGGACAGACUCAACCAUUUCAUGUCAUAGCUUGAACAACUCCAGGAGGAGGUGAACAAGGUCUAAGAAAAAAAUAGACAAAAAUCACACAGAGGUUUUCUAAUUUUUUUUCAAAAGGUCCAGAAAAAAGAUUAGGAACACACCACAUUCCUUAUCCUUAGUGUAACCGGCAGGUAUGCCUGUGACAGGUGCAUGCCUGCUUGAUUGGGGAUGUAGUUCAGCUGUGUCUGCCCCUUUAUAAGGAACAGGGAGUGAGUUGACAGACAGUUGCUGCCUGCCUGUCUGGUGAUGCUGUAAGCGGCUGGACGUGGCGCACAUGUCAUGAGCCACUGCGUGUUCUUUACCAACCCUUUUUUUACAUUUUAAUGUGUUUUAGAGUGGUCUUGUAUUUGUUGUGUGGUUGACUCUGAUUUCUUUUUACUGUUGCGUAGGUCUGAGUCGGGCGCCGGUGUGUGUGGUGUUGGUGAGGGGGGCCCCUUGUGGCAGCAUCGUCCUCACUCCAGUUCCCUCACUGUAUUUGUUUAUUUCCCUUUUAGUGUGUAGUGGAAGUUUCUUUUGCAUGUUUUUAUUAUUGUGUGUGUCGCUUUUGUUUUCAGCAUGGAGUGGAGUGAGGUGUGCUGCCGCGUACUGGCUUGGUCCACGGCCUCUCUCUUCCCUCCCCUCCUGCACGGGCGGUCGGCUCGGCCUUCCUGUUUUUAUUCUUGCCUCUCCCUUUUAUUGUUUUAUCUGUGUACUGCUGAUCGGAGUAAAACUGCACUUUUCGAUUUUUUUUUUUUUUUCAUUAAAUCUAAUUUUUAUAAGCUUUUAUUGUCUCAGCCAUUUUUGUUUUGGUGGCUCCACUCUGCACUGACGGUACCUUGGUCACAUUUCUGGUGUUGUCGGCAGGAUCUAAUUUCCGUUGUUGCAGUUGUGGUAACCAAAUUGGGCUGAUUUCUUUUUUUUUUUUUGGGUAGAACACAAGGUGUGCUCCUUCGGACCCCCCCAUUCCUGUGGUCACCAUUACCUGGGUUCAACGUCCACUGGUUGGAAGGCCUCCAUCCUCCACCAAUGGCUGAUGAGGAAGCACCACGAUCCCUGGAUAAUCUGUGUGCUCAGGUUGACCGAACACCAGAUAAAGAGGCUUCUGGUAGAGCCUUUGGUGGUUGUAACGAGCCAUUGGAUCGGCUGGUAUAUAUCCCGAGCAAGCGAAAAUGCCCACAUUUCCAGGGAAGGACUGGGGUUCCGGUUGAGGAUUGGGUGGAGGAGAUGAGGGCAACAUUACGAACCAGACGAUUGCAUCCUGUUGACCAGGCCUAUUUUAUUUAUGCUCAUCUAGAAGGUGAAGCCAGGGAUGAAAUUAGAUAUAGGCCACGAGCUGACAGGGAGGACCCAGAGAAAAUUUUGGAAAUACUACAGGAUAUGUAUGGGUGUUCUAAAUCAUACAUUUCAUUGCAACAAAUGUUUUUUCCCAGGCAGCAGCAGGAGGGUGAAUCACUGCGGGAAUUUUCCCAUGCUUUGUGUUGCAUUAUGGAGAAGGUUGAACGGUGUGCACCACGAAGGAUGUUGGAUGCCUCUAGGUUGCUUCGAGACCAGUUCGUGGAGAAUGUUAGAUCCCAACCUACGCUGGGACCUGAAACGCUCUGCAGGCGGCCUCUCAACCCCCAACUAGCCAUUGGCAGUCCAGUGUGGUGUGUCGGCGUUGUCAAAGACCUGGUCACUAUGCUCGUGAGAAUGACAGUGUCCCCACCCAGCCAAGAGCCUCCCUUUCUGUGGCAGCUCAGGAGGCGGGAAACUUCCACCAUCUGAUGUGAGGGGCCAAACAUCAGGUGGAGAGAGUGCUGGCUCCCAGGGCCGGGGUUCAAACGUGCCCCCAGGCAAGUCAAAUCUUGUGGCACAAUGCCUUACAGUAGUUGUUAAAUUAGUAGGGGUGGUCGCUAACCUUCUCCUUGACACAGGCUCAAUGGUAACCACCAUAUCUGAAAGCUUCUUUAAUCAAUCUUUGCAGCAGGUUAUUAGACCUUGCAAUUGGCUGGCGUUAACUGCUGCAAAUGGGUUUGAAAUCCCAUACCUCGGCUAUGUUGAAUUAGACGUUGUUGUUUUUGGUCAGCUCCUGCCAUAGCGGGGUCUCUUGGUUGUUAAAGACCUUGCACGACCUAAUAAGUCGUCAGAUGUUGUGGGUGUGUUAGGGAUGAAUGUUAUUAAAGAGUGUUACCAGCAGCUGUUUAACCAACAAGGACCUGCUCUCUUUGCUCUCCCUGAAGUACAGCAGACGCCCCAGUGGUAAAAAUCCUCAUCUUGUCGCUGCUUGUUGGACCAAGAGAGAAGGCUGCCUGGAGGUUCAUCUUCCGCUGAAAGCAGACAGCUCCUAAGAGACGCAAUGAGUAGAGGCCCUGACACCCGCUGCCCUCCGAACGCAAUCCACGUCCCCGCGGGAUCAAACCAGGUGGGGUUUCCAUCUGCGAUCUUGAUCGGAGCGUAGGGUUCAAAGUCCGCUGCAGUGACCGCCGCCAUCUUUCCUGUUUCUGGUGUCCCACCAGCCUCAUUGGUCGCUUCCCCUCCCGCUACGCUAGCCAGCUGCCCGAUGGACAACUGAGCUGUCCACUGAAGCCAAUGUAGACAAACACUGGUGGGGCCACCAUGGAAGCUGUGGACAGACACAUCUGGGGCCCACAAUUUCUGCCCACUUUUAAACUAUAUAGGCCCACUUGGUCUUGCUGGCUGGGCAAAAGUUUUUUUUUUAUCCUGAAUAUAUGAAAACCAGCCUCUGAGGUUUGUGGCAUUUAUUUACUUAGUUUUUUUAACUUUCAAAUGUCAGACAAUUUCAAAAAUACCAACAUUUAUGAGCCUGCAGGUUCCUAGUUUGUCCUUUGGUUAAAAAGCUGAUCAUUUCAAACACUAGCAUUAAGUUAUAUUAGUGCUUACCGUACAUUACUUUGUAAGUAUUUUAUAUUUCUAUUGUUUCCUUAAUUAAAACUGUUUCAAAAAAGGGCUUCCUUUCUCCGUUGUGCUAUCCCAGGCACUUUAACAUUGGGAGUUGGGUCAUCUAGACCCACUACACAGGGCCCUGAACCUUUUUUCUUCAAUGAUUUGUGAUCUUCACUGGUGUCCAUGGAUUACAUGAAAUCUUUCCACCUUUUUCAUGGUAGGGAGAACACAUCAAUGUAAGGGUGGGGUCAUCUAAGAUAGCACAAGGGUCAAUAAACACAAUUAUCAGUGUGAUGUUCUUUAUAAAGGAUCAUGAACAAACAACAGAAUCACAGCGUUUUUGAGGAUAUGACAGAUUUCUGUUCAACCAACCGAAGCCUCUCAUGUGAAUUUUAAUCACCUUUUAAUGACACUUGAACCCAAUCACCGUUUUCUUAAUUCAAUCAUUCUCAUACAGCGCAACAAUCCAACCACAACGUGUGAGCAGCAUAUAAAACACGUGAAGGAAACACAGGAAGGUUACAAACAAAGAUGGUUGUGGUGACACUGAAUCAUCGGGGGAGGCUGUGGCACACAGGAGACAAGCAUGGAAAAGACACACAACAGCAUCCUCUAGUGGGUCACGCUUCGCUGGUCAACACUUCCAACUCAAGGUUGCCUUUUUUCCAGAAACAACUAAAUCUUUGUUGGGAAUCCUUUCACUCCCCUCUGGAAACACUUAAAAUGGAUGAUCAUGACAGGCUUUCACCAGUGAUGUACUGUAUUUAUUUACUGCAACCAUCAAAGAAAUGCGUCUUUCAUUCAGGGGAGUUGCCAUUCAAGCAUCAGUUACUCAGCUGUAUCAAAGGUGUUGAACAUUUCCACUUUGAUAAUGAAAAAAAAAAAAUACAAAUUUUAAA